rnacentral:lncRNA from 1 species
CGGGGAUGUCAGAUCGCCGACCUGGCACCUCCCUGGCAUAAGCUGCCCGAUACGCCAGGAGACAGUCCCUUUCCAGGGCCCCUUUCGCUCCUGGAAACCAGCGGGUUCCCAUUCGGACACCCAAGGGAAGUGACCGGCACCCAAGCAGCGUGGCCCAUUGAAAAGACCCCCGGCCCGGGAGUCACAAGGACCUGGGUUCUAAUCCGGCUCUGCCAAUUACCGCUGUGUGACCUCGGGCAACUCGCUUCACUUCUCUGGGCCUCGGUUUCCACAACCGUAAAAGGGGGAUGCCCGUUCUCCCUCCUACGUAAACUGUGAGCCCCACGCGGGACAGGGACAAGUGUAUUUACCUCAGCGCUUAGAACGGUGUUCGACGCGCGGUAGGCGCUUAACGGAGACCAUAGAAAAAUAUCAAAAGAAGACGGAUUACCCGUUCCGUUCCCGGCCAGGUGCUCGUCCGGCCCCCGGGAGCCGGAAGCGGAGGAUCCUCUCCCAGAGGCCUGCCCUGGUGGUUUGGCGUCGUGGGCUGGCUCCUCGUCGCCGCCACCAGCGGGGUCUCGGCCUUCUUCACCAUGCUCUACGGGCUGCACUAUGGCCACGACCGGUCCAUUAAGUGGCUCUUCUCCAUGGUGUCUCAUUUUUCGAGAGUGUCUUCAUCACCCAGCCCCUUAAGGUUUUGGGUUUUGCUGCGUUCUUUGCCCUGGUCACGAAGAAAGUGGAGCUGGAAGAUGAUCCCAACCCCUCAUUGAUGGAACUCUGGUUGGUCCAGGUAAUGCUGGGUCGGAGAUAAUAUUAAUAAUGAUAAUAAUAACUGUGGUAUUUGUUAAGUGCUUACUAUGUGCCAAGCAGUAUUGUGAGCACUGGGGUAGAUACAAGGUAAUCACAUUGGAUACAGUGCCUGUCCCAUGGGGCUCGCAGUCUCAGUCCCCAUUUUACAGAUGAGGGAACUGAGGCACAGAGAAGUGAAGUGACUUGUCCAAGGUCACACAGCAGACGUGCGGCGGAGCCGGGAUUAGAACCCAGGCCCUCCGACUCCCGGG